CCUACGGGUGGCAGCAGUGGGGAAUAUUGCACAAUGGGGGAAACCCUGAUGCAGCGACGCCGCGUGAGUGAAGAAGUAUUUCGGGUUGUAAACUUCUUUUGACAGGGAAGAGUAGAAGACGGUACCUGUCGAAUAAGCCACGGCUAACUACGUGCCAGCAGCCGCGGUAAUACGUAGGUGGCAAGCGUUGUCCGGAUUUACGGGGUGUAAAGGGCGUGUAGCCGGGUUGACAAGUCAGAUGUGAAAUCCUGCGGCUUAACCGCAGAACUGCAUUGGAAACUGUGGAUCUUGAGUACUGGAGAGGCAGACGGAAUUCCUAGUGUAGCGGUGAAAUGCGUAGAUAUUAGGAGGAACACCAGUGGCGAAGGCGGUCUGCUGGACAGCAACUGACGGUGAGGCGCGAAAGCGUGGGGAGCAAACAGGAUUAGAUACCCCAGUAGUC
rnacentral:rRNA from 1 species